UUCGGUUUAAUCUCUUUUAUUCCUUUCUAAAUGAAGGUCAGACGUGCUCGGAAGUUCGAAUUGAUAUUCCGACGGACCUACGAUGCGUGAAUUAAGAAACGCUUCGUUCUAGCCCUAUUCGCAUCGAGUCGCAUGGACUAAUGUUUGUACGGUUCGUGACGUUGGUUCUAGUCUUCGACAUCCCUACAGGUUCCAGCGCGAGCGGUAUGGCCGAGGAUCGCGGCAAGAGCUCAGCAGCUUAGCUAGUGGACACCCGUGUGCUAGUAGCAUACCAUUUUGAGUUCAUGUGAGAUAUUUUGAUGUACAGAGACAUGUAAAUGAAUGUAUUAAAGAGCAUGUAUAUAACUAAAUGUUUCAGUUAUUCAGUUCAGUUUAAAAGUUUUAAA